CAGCAGCAGACACAUUCCAGCCAAUCAGCAGCAGACCCUCCCUCCCAGAUCCUCCCACCUCCUGGACAGCAUCCAUUGUGAAGCUGCAUUCUUAGUGAGCUGUCCAGGAGGUGGGAGGGUCUGGGAGGGAGGGUCUGCUGCUGAUUGGCUGGAAUGUGUCUGCUG